rnacentral:lncRNA from 1 species
GUGGUGCUCGGCAGCAGCAUUCACUGUCUUUGUAUCACACCUGGUAAUACACAAAAGAUUAAUUUCAAAAAGUGGCCAGAGGACUGGGGAUUUAGCUCAGUGGUUCCGGCGCCUGCCUUGCAAGCACAAGGUCCUGAGUUUGAUCCCCGGUACCAAAAAAAAAAAAAGUGGCCGGAACGAUGGGAUAAGUGUGUUCAAAGCAAGGGGUUAAUGUCAGUGUGUCUUUUACUGUAAUAAAUUUUAAUUUAAACAUGGUAUAUUUUUUGAUCAUCCAAACGCACUGUAUUUUUUGAUCACCCCUUCCUAUGUUUCAUUUUCAUGUGGAACAAUUUGUAAUAUAUAUAUUUUUUUUUUUUGAGGAACCAGGGAUCAAACUCAGGACCUUGCGCUUGCCAGGCAGGCCACAGGUGCCACUGAGCUACAUCUUGGCCCAAUUUGGAAUAUAUACAACAAAACUUCUAACAGCCAACGUGAAUAACAGCACCUCUGUAAACCGUAUUGAAGCAUGGAGCGACAGGAAAGGCUGGCUGAAUUUUCUCCAUCUGCUUGGUGAGGAAGUCUAUCUUCCUUUUGAAGAAGUCCUUGGCAUCUUCAGCUGUCUUCUCCACAUAGUAGCCAGUUCCCACAUCGAUGAGCACGUGUUCUACAUCAUGUAGUUUCCCAGGGACAUGCAUAGAACUCGUCAGUGGGACGAGUAAUUCUUUCCCCUCGUUGCUCUUGUUCAGCACAUUCAGACAUCCUUGGCUUCCACAUACUUGGUCUGUACCACCUUGAGCUGAGCGAUGGACGUGGACAAGAACUCCACUUCCUGGUCCAGCUGGUUCUUAAGCAUUUCUAGUUGUGGCAGGUUCAGCUCAGUGAUGUUAAUUGACUGCCUCUCCUUGAGUUUAAAGACUUCUUCUUUUUUUUUUGGUACUGGGGAUCGAACUCAGGACCUUGCCCUUUUGAGGCAGGUGGCGAAACCACUAAGCUAAAUCCCCAGCCCUAAGACUUUUCUGUUUUCUUAUUGGAACCUACUUAUCAACAUAUUGAUUUUAAAUAACAAAAUUUCCCCAGCACUUGUUAUUGAAUAUACACACAACACCAAAACACAAACAAAAGCUUGAAAAAUCCAGAAGAGGUUAAAAACCCACAACAACGCACUGUACACAGCAGGGGAAACCCACAGACAGAAACUCAAGUGUCUGCUCCUGCACACUGCUAUGAUGGGGGCAGCUGCAGGCAGCAGCUCAGCAUUGGUCUUGGGGCCUGGACAUCAAAACCAAGUUUCCAGAAGAUUGGCUUAGAGCCCUUUAGUGAAUUCCAUUAGAAAGGCCUAGUUCCCUAACACAGUUCUGGGUCCCAGCAAAGUUUGAAGCCAGUCCUGAAUUUUGUUGGCCCGGGUUGAUGUUAAAAAUUCUGUCAUUUUCUAUGCUGACUUUCUUGUUGUUGCUUAUGUGUGUGAUUUGUUUAUUUAAAAGGGGCAAGCGCAAGGACCUGAGUUCAUAUAGGGCCGGGGAUUUAUUUAGCUCAGUGGUUCCGGCGCCUGCCUUGAAAGUGCAAGGUCCCGAGUUCGAUCCCCAGUACCAAAAAAAUAUAAAAAUAAAAAGAUCAUAUAGAAAGUGAAACAAGAGGUGGAGGGAGAGGGAAUUUGGGAUGGAAAAUCAGAUAAAAAAUGAAAUUGGAGAAAAAAUAAGGAUAGAGCUUUUGCAAAUGGAAAUGGGUUGAAGAAAUGAAAAGAGGAGGGAGAAAAU